rnacentral:rRNA from 1 species
AUUGAACGCUGGCGGCAUGCUUUACACAUGCAAGUCGAACGGUAACAGGUUAAGCUGACGAGUGGCGAACGGGUGAGUAAUGCAUCGGAACGUGCCCGAUCGUGGGGGAUAACGCAGCGAAAGCUGCGCUAAUACCGCAUUCGAUCUUAGGAUGAAAGCGGGGGACCGUAAGUCCUCGCGCGAUCGGAGCGGCCGAUGUCAGAUUAGGUAGUUGGCGGGGUAAAGGCCCACCAAGCCGACGAUCUGUAGCUGGUCUGAGAGGACGACCAGCCACACUGGGACUGAGACACGGCCCAGACUCCUACGGGAGGCAGAAGUGGGGAAUGUUGGACAAUGGGCGAAAGCCUGAUCCAGCAAUGCCGCGUGCAGGAAGAAGGCCUUCGGGUUGUAAACUGCUUUUGUACGGAGCGAAAAGGCCCUUUCUAAUACAAGGGGCUCAUGACGGUACCGUAAGAAUAAGCACCGGCUAACUACGUGCCAGCCGCCGCAGUAAAAC